AGAGUGAACGCUGGCGGUAGGCCUAACACAUGCAAGUCGAACGGCAGCACGGUAAGAGCUUGCUCUUAUGGGUGGCGAGUGGCGGACGGGUGAGGAAUACAUCGGAAUCUACCUUUUGGGUGGGGGAUAACGUAGGGAAACUUACGCUAAUACCGCAUACGCCCUUCGGGGGAAAGCCGGGGACCAGCAAUGGCCUGGCGCUGAUAGAUGAGCCGAUGUCGGAUUAGCUAGUUGGUGAGGUAAUGGCUCACCAAGGCGACGAUCCGUAGCUGGUCUGAGAGGAUGAUCAGCCACACUGGAACUGAGACACGGUCCAGACCUCCGUACGGGAGCGAGCGAGGUGGGGAAUAGUUAGGACAAGUGGGACGCAAGCCUGACUCCAGCCAUCCG
rnacentral:rRNA from 1 species